rnacentral:rRNA from 1 species
CCUACGGGUGGCAGCAGUGAGGAAUAUUGGUCAAUGGGCGAGAGCCUGAACCAGCCAAGUCGCGUGAAGGAUGACGGCCCUACGGGUUGUAAACUUCUUUUGUCAGGGAGCAAUUGAGUCCACGUGUGGGCUUAGCGAGAGUACCUGAAGAAAAAGCAUCGGCUAACUCCGUGCCAGCAGCCGCGGUAAUACGGAGGAUGCGAGCGUUAUCCGGAUUUAUUGGGUUUAAAGGGUGCGUAGGCGGAAUAUCAAGUCAGCGGUAAAAAUUCGGGGCUCAACCCCGUCGUGCCGUUGAAACUGGCAGUCUUGAGUACAGUAGAGUUGGGCGGAAUUCGUGGUGUAGCGGUGAAAUGCUUAGAUAUCACGAAGAACUCCGAUUGCGAAGGCAGUUCACUGGACUGCAACUGACACUGAGGCUCGAAAGUGUGGGUAUCAAACAGGAUUAGAUACCCGAGUAGUC